CAGUAAAAACCUUUAAGAGAUUCUUUCCAGCUGAAGGGCAAGAUGGAGGUAGAAUUCUUAUUUCAGACUGGGGAAAGAAGAAAGUCACCACUUGGGUAGACCCAGAUCACUCUAGCAUGCUAAAUAGACUCAGAGCACAUCCUCGAAUAGCCUAACUGUUCUAGCCAAAUUACUUCACUGCCUUGCCUACUUGGUGGCUUUAUUUUCCUGCUCCACCUAAGUGGUUUCAGGAGAGGCCAGGGUUUACUCUGGUGAAACAAUCUGCUCCUGUGAACACACCUAGUUAAGAAAGGCAGACUAUUCUGGGCUUAUGUCCAAUUACCUGCUUUCUUCUUCUCUCUACUGGCACAUGGAUUUCUUUCUCCUAUGAUUUUCAAGUCUCACCAGUGAGAGGCCUGAAUCCUAGCCUGGAAGCAUCAUCAUCAGAAGGCCUGAGCUUCAAGUCCAGAUCAGCAUCAACGGAGCCACAAAUCUCAGAACUGGAAGCAGUGUCAGAAGGAGGUUCCAGCCUCAAACCUGGGAGCAGCCUUGGAGAACCCGGAAGCAGCAUUGGAGGUAGGUUUGAGCUACAAGACCUGAGCAACAUCAGUGAGAAGUCCAAAUCCCAGCCCAGAAGCAGCAUCAGUGAGAGACCCGAUACCUAUCCUGGAAGCAGCAUCAGAAGACCUGAGCUUCGGUCUGGAGCAGCAUCAAGGGAACCAUGAAUCCUAGAACCACAAGCAAUGUCAGAGGGAGGUCUCAGCCUCAAACCUGGGUGCAGUGUUGAAGGAGGAACAUUCAUAGGAAACCUGUUAUACUUGUGCUUGAAGGAGUAGCCAAGGGAGCCACAGCCUACAACUAUACCAAUUGGAGAAAUAAAAACCCCCUGAAGCACAUGUUCCACCUAUACCAAUUAAAGGAAGAGAUGUGUAGACAACAAGGUAAGAAGAACAGCAACACCUGAACAACCCAAAACAGAUGAAGCACAAGAAAAUGGCUUGAAAAAUAACACUAUGAGGAUGAUUGAGCCCCUAAAGAGGAAAUGAAAAACUCUCUUAAAGAAAUGAGGAAAAGACAAACAAAAAAUUGGAAGAUAUCAACAAAUCCCUUAAAGAAAACCAAGAAAAAAAGUAAUCAAACAAAUUCCUGGUCUGUUUUCAUUAAUUUUUAUUACAUUUGUAAACAUAUAUAUUCCUAAAUAUAACCCACUGUCUGUACAAUUUAACACUUUGAAGUAAACUACUCCUUUGUGCCUAUACUUCAAACACUCUGUGAAAACAAUUGUCUUUCUGUUGGUUCCCAUUUUAAGAGUUUAAUUAAACUCUGUCACGAAAGAA